GGAUUGUGGCUAUGUGGGAGAGUGCUCACCUAGCACGUGUGAGGUCCUGGGUUCGAUCCUCAGCACCA
rnacentral:tRNA from 1 species